UAAGAGCGGUUUUCUUUAACAGAUAAUAGUGCCAACGGUUGUUUAAAACCCGAAGCCACGCAAACGCUAUGUUUUCGAUUUAAUUUGCGAGUAGUAAUUCUACGAGUUAAAAGUUUGAAUUUUGAUAUCUUUGCCGGCUAUGAACAGGUGAAACCGACGUUCCUUAUCUCUACGAUGAUUAGUUGUGAAAACAUUUCACAAAUACGAAUGAAAUUACUUCAGGAAGCCUCACACGAUUGCAAAAGUAGACGCAUACUUUCUUCCAGCUACAUUCGACAGAGAGGCGAGUGGAAAUUGGCCGAGUUUCAAACAUAAAUUGAAUGCGAAAAGUUUACAAAUAUGCAAAUAGAAAAUUUGCAUUGUCCCAGUAGGACGACUGCUAUGUCGUUGUUUGAACCCAUUCCUUCCUCUGCAAACAAAUGUUGCUUUCAACGAUUAGAACUUUCAUAAUUCUCAAUCUAGGCAGUUCACUUUGCAUUACUGCUCUUUUAACCAUUCGCUAUCCAAAUUAUUUUUUUUCACGCAACAAUUUAAUUUUUAGCUCAUAGUUUCAGCGAGGGGAACCAAAAGUAAGGUCGUUUGUGAGGUGAAGAAGCAGUUCCUUCGCUGGAUGUGCGUUCAUAGUUAAUUACAAUUCUAGACAUCUUCAUAAAAUAAUAAUGUAACAAUUUUCAAUGGUCUGCGAACACGGGGUCAUAAAUAUAUUGAUAUAAACAUGUGUUAAGGCUUGCAUUUGUUAAAUCAGUGAAGCCAAGUAAGGACAGAAGCCAUCGGCUCAACGCAAAAGGCAAAAUCUACAUGAUUUGAUGCGAGGAUCAUUGGACUUCCGCGCCCAGUGAAAAGAAUUGUUGGUAUCCACCGGUGUUGAUUACGCAUGUGUACAAAGUUUGCGGUAACGGUGGCCGAAGUAACGCGACAUUCAAGAUUAAUCUGUAGGCCUACUGACGAACGGUUACUCUCGUUGUUGUGACAUUUUUAAUGUUGACGACUGCCGCCACUUCUGCCUCUACCAGUUCGGACCCGAAUGGAGCACCAGGCAGUAGCUACCAAGGGUAUAAAAAGUUGAUGGAAAAAUUCGAUGGCCUAAAGAAUUACAUUCCUUCUAAUAUGGACGAUCCCAUCGUUUUAAACGUUGGAGGGAAACGUUUCGAGACUUACGAAGAAACGCUUGCAAGAUUCCCCGACACUUUACUCGGCUCCAAGAGUCGGAGGUCGAAAUUUUACAACAGCAGACGGCAGGAAUACUUUUUCGAUAGACAUCGUUCGGCAUUUGACGCAAUUCUUUAUUAUUAUCAAUCCGGUGGAACUCUCAUAAGGCCAGAGCAUGUUCCCCCGCAUGUAUUCAUCAACGAAGUUGUCUUUUAUGACCUCCCUGAGGAAGCUGUUCAAGUUAUUCAACUUGAGGCAGGUAUAGCGGACGAGCCUGAAGAUCAACCGAUGCCGAGUAAUUACUACAUGGGAAUUAUUUGGAACGCGUUGGAAUACCCAAACUCGUCGAAAGUGGCCAAAUUUUUAGCCAUUUUUUCCGUGUUGGUAAUCACUUUGUCGUUAAUAAUUUUCUGCGUCGAGACUUUACCAACUUUUAAAAUGGCAAACCAAAGUCGACCGUCAAAUGCUACAGAUGACUGGAAACCACCUCCAAACCCUUAUGAUAAAGUGUGGUUUCAACUUAACACAUUUGUCAUCGUAUGGUUCACUGGAGAGUACGUUAUUCGCUUUAUUUGCUCCCCGCAAAAAUUGAAAUUUUUACUGGGUGCUUUGAAUCUUAUUGAUUUAUUAUCCAUUUUGCCUUACUAUGUUCAACUCGGACUUAAAGAAGAUGACUCUUCCAUCUCCGUGCUGCGCGUGGUGCGUGUGGUACGCGUGUUUCGAGUGUUUAAGCUCUCACGUCACUCGCGCGGGCUUCAAAUAUUGGGAAACACGCUGAAAGCGAGUUUGAAUGAACUGAUUAUGUUAAUGUUCUUCUUAGCAAUUGGCGUUAUGAUAUUUGCAAGUUGCGUCUACUACGCGGAAGGAGGGCCCGACAGUGAGGGUUUUCAAAGCAUUCCACACGCUUUCUGGUGGGCAGUCGUCACUAUGACUACUGUGGGUUACGGAGAUGUUUCCCCCGUCAGUUUACCAGGAAAGAUCGUGGGAGCACUGUGCGCCAUUUCAGGGGUGCUAACCAUUGCAUUGCCUGUACCCGUAAUCGUGUCCAAUUUCGAGAACUUUUACAACAAAGAGAUGAACCGAAGAAAAGAAGAGGAACUGAAGAAAGCAGAAGAAGCUCGAGAAAAGGGAAAGGCUAACAAAUCCGGUGAGAACAGCAGAAAGCAAUCUGUGGAACUCGAAAACAUGGAUGGUAAGAUUCUCAAGUCUCCAAGAGAUGUUGUGGUUUGUAGCGUUAACAACAAAGACGAGAAUUCGACCGAUAAGACUCAUCCAACACGGAGGUCAGUUGAGACUGUGUGACGAUCUGUGUCACUUGAUGCAUGUCACGUAAUGCAUUAUACCUGAUGUGAUAUGUGUCGUGCUGAAUUGCACAUUUGAGAACAUUGGAAGGCCUUUAUUCAAUGAUAUAUUUAUUCGUAUUAACUGCAAGAUAAACUGUCAAAAAAUUUCUAUCUCAGAGGCAAGAGUGGAUUUCAACGUUUAUUCCUUGAACUGAAGAGUGGAAAUGUUUCUCCUAGGCAACUGCUGAUGUCGAACGAUCGUCUGUACUCACAGCAAACCGGAAACGAAAUAUGGAAAUAGCUAUUACGUCAUAACUUCGUUGCUCUUAGUUCAAAAUAAUGCAUGAAUAUAGACCGGAGGUAGAUUACACGGCAUAAGCGGUGAACAAAAUCUAAGGAACUUUGGUCAUCCGCUUAAUCAAGCUUGAUUACAUAGUAUGAAAGUACAAGGAGUGACUCCAGUGUCCGCAAUAUACCAGUUCAAUCACAAGAAAGAAAAUUUGGACUUAGCACUAUGAGCACUCGCCUACUGUAGAAAAUUCUGUUAAAAAACACACCUAGUAAACUGCUAUACCAACUGGGAAAUAGCCUCUCGCCUUAUUUUCACCAACUUUCCGAUGCAAUUAUAUAUUCUAAGUUUUUGAGGACUCUUCGAACGACUAGGAUUGGGCUCUGUGAAGUACUUUCGACACACCUUUAGUAUUCUUCACCCUCCUGGUUCCCUCCGAGUAAAUAUGGCAAACUGUGGUAUUAGCGAAGAAAAAACUUUCUAGGUCUCGGAGGUGAUGGAUGUAAAACCACCUUUUGAAACUGUAAGGUCGGUACAAGCCGUUGCGGUAUGUGUACAUGAUGGAGUCAUUAGCACUUUGCUGAGAACACCAUCUCGAAAAACAGGGUAACAACAUUUUGUUCAGCUUCUCCUUGAAGGCAUCUUGAAGUACUAAUGCCAAAAAUCUUGUAUUACAAACGCCAAGUUUUGUCUUUCAUUUCUACACCGGGAUCUAAUAGGAAAACAAGCCCUAGACGCUCACGAUGAAGUUAAUUAAAGUGAAAAAUGUGGCCUGUCAGGAUUCUUGGUGAAAUUGUGUACCUGCCCAUCAAUAAGCGUCAAUAUAAUGCUUUGAAAACAAAUAAAUUAAAUUAGCUGAAACGGUGAAAAUGCCCACAACAGAACGGCACAUCGAGGGGAAGCUGAGUUUGAAGCUGAGUUUGAAGCUGAGGAACUAGACGUCAGUUAGACUUACGAGUUCUAAGGCGAUAAAGGACGAGGAUGGUAUAAAUUAGGGAAACAUAACGAAAUCGAAUCUUCACGUCUCAAGAACAUGAAUAAGAGCUGAGAUGGCAGGUUCGCCUCUUAGUGGUCAGCGGUGUGCAGUGUGCAAGCCUUACCUAGUACCUA
rnacentral:misc_RNA from 1 species